CAGAGGAGGUUGGACAGCUAAUUAGCGAGUUGUCACGUGAGCUCUCGACCAAUGAGAUCGCUCUAUUUUCCAUCGUGUUGGCGAAGAUUUUUGGCCGCCAAAUUUGCAUUGGACACAGAAGAACUCAAAAAAUAUAUAUAAAUAUUCAAAUUUUGCUAUCAAAAUGCAACCAUGGCCUUAGUAUUAUAAAAGGACUGGCGAUAUGUGCAAGAAUUUCUGAGGUAAACGUUAUUUUUUAACCUGUUUUCGAUGAUUAAAGUUGGUCAUGCCUUGGCAACGUGAUGACUCAAGUCCGAGUCUGUUUACAAUUUUCAAACUAAAAAAUCUGGAAUUCCCAUGGUUCGAUUUUCGUAAUUUUUGCAAAAAAGUCAAGACAAAUGUCUAAACUAAAAAUCUGCUGGAGGGAUCCCCGGGAUCCCCCGGCAGUUUUCGAGAUAUUUGGCAUUGAAUGACCAUACUCAAUUCAACCUUUGCCAAAAUGGCGUCUAAUAUCUGGGGAAGAUAUUGCGCCACCAAAGCUUGGUUUUCACAUUGAAUUUUGAAAGUCCCCCAAUAUUAGGAUCAUUUUUCUUUACAGUAAGUGUUAAAUUACUUUUGAAAGACUAUUUAGAAGACUUAGGAGUUAUUUGCCUGUUUUUACAGAUUUUAUAUCUGGGCUGGUAUUACUAGCCUGCAUGCCCAUCUCCUCGACAUGCAUGUCUAUCUCCUUGGUAAGUGAAAUUGUCUGGUGGUAGAGACGAUUUUAAAAGAACAGCACAUUAUAAAGUGAUCAGAUUUUCUCACAGUGAAAAAUUCUAUGUUCCUUUUUAAUUACAGCAGUUCAGAUGUCGAUAUAGAAUUGAAAAAGGGCUUCUUCCUGAACAUCCAAGGGCAGGGCCAACUGAUGAUGUUGAAGAAUGAAGACAUUUUAGCAUGGAUUACUAGUAUAGAUUAUAGUAUCUCUUGUCCUUUAUGAUGUCUUUUUGAAAGUUAUUGGUGAAUACAAAUUGAGCUGUGAUCCCUCAACGUGGCCAACAACAUGCUCCACCAAAUACCUGAGCACAAUAUAGAAAGUGCACAUACUGUACAUGCAGGGAUGGAUUUACUGGGGGGGGGGUGCACCCCCCUAGCCCUGGCCAGGGGGG